CCUACGGGUGGCUGCAGUGGGGGAUAUUGCACAAUGGGGGGUACCCUGAUGCAGCGACGCCGCGUGGGUGAAGAAGAGCCUCGGCGCGUAAAGCCCUGUCAGCAGGGAAGAAAAUGACGGUACCUGAAGAAGAAGCCCCGGCUAACUACGUCCCAGCAGCCGCGGCAAUACGUAGGGGGCAAGCGUUAUCCGGAUUUACUGGGUGAAAAGGGGGCGUAGGGGGGCUGGUAAGUCAGCGGUAAAAAUUCGGGGCACAACCCCGGCCUGCCGUUGAAACCGGGGGCGUGGAGUGGGCGAGAGGAAGGCGGAAUGCGUGGUGUAGCGGUGAAAUGCAUAGAUAUCACGCAGAACCCCGAUUGCGAAGGCAGCCUUCCGGAGCGCUACUGACGCUGAGGCACGAAAGUGCGGGGAUCGAACAGGAUUAGAUACCCCUGUAGUC
rnacentral:rRNA from 1 species